GAUGAUGAGGGCCAUCUGGUUGUGACACCUGCCACCCUGUUGGUCUUCAGGGUUGGUUUGGCUUGUUAUGCAAGUGGCCUGUUCUUACCUCACUACCUCAUGUGCAUCUUUCCUCAAGCCCUGCCUGGAUGAAGAGGUUGACCUAUUUAGAUAAUAAGGAUCGUUCUUUAUUCCAGGGUAUCUGAAUUAGAAUCUUAUUCAUGAAGGUGAAGGAUUAUGUAAUUUUCUGAGAGAU
ensembl:misc_RNA 7SK 7SK RNA